AACGAACGCUGGCGGCGGGGUUUAGGCAUGCAAGUCGAGCGAGAAAGUCUUCGGACGAGUAAAGCGGCGUAAGGGUGAGUAAUAGGUAGUCAACGUAUCCACGAGACGCGAAUAAUUCCCCGAAAGGGGUUGUAAUGCGCGAUGAGACCACAGUUCCCACGGGGAUCGAGGUCAAAGGUUCGGGAUCCUUCGGGACCGAGCGGCUCAUGGAGCGGACGACCUCCGAUUAGCUAGAUGGCGGGGUAACGGCCCACCAUGGCGAUGAUCGGUAGCCGGCCUGAGAGGGUGUUCGGCCACACUGGGACUGAGACACUGCCCAGGACUCCUACGGGAGGCUGCAGUCGCGAAUCAUUCACAAUGGACGCAAGUCUGAUGAUGCCACGCCGCGUGCGGGAUGGAAGG
rnacentral:rRNA from 1 species